GGAAGGAAGCGAAGGCGUUUGUUUCUUCAUGAUUAUUGCAUGAACACAGACGCGGCGAUGUAAGAAUGUUUGGUGCAAAAUAGUAAACAAGUACUUAAGACCAUUAACUACGUUCCAUCGAAGAAGCUUCAAACACAAACAUUCAACAUUAACAUAAAAACGUCCCGCCCUUGCAACUCCUCCCAACACCAUUCUAAAACACCAACGUCUGCCCUCCCCAAAGCAAGUUAAAGAAAAUAGAUAGACAACACACACAACAUAUUUCAAUAAAUGCUCCUUUUUCUGCAAUAUCCUAACAACCUUCAUCCCAUGGCAUACUUCUGUGUCCAGCUCCUGGCCGUGGAUUCAUAUUUGGCCUUGUCGGACUUGUACAUGUGGGCAAUCUCCGGUACAAGAGGGUCGUCGGGAUUUGGAUCAGUAAGCAAGGAGCAGAUAGAGAGCAGGACCUG
rnacentral:lncRNA from 1 species